UCCCCGUUAUCCUGGGCUCGAACGGCUGGACCCCCUUGCGGGGUAGCGAUGUUUCCAUCGCCGUUGACCAGCCGUUCGAGCCCAGGUAAGGUUCUUCGCGUUGCGUCGAAUUGAACCACAUGCUCCACCGCUUGUGCGGGCCCCCGUCAAUUCCUUUGAGUUUCAGCCUUGCGACUGUACUCCCCAGGCGGCAUAUUUAACGCGUUAGCUCCGGCACAGACAGAAUGAACUGCCCACACCAAAUAUGCAUCGUUUAGGGCGUGGACUAC
rnacentral:misc_RNA from 1 species